AGCGAACGCUGGCGGCAGGCCUAACACAUGCAAGUCGAACGAACUCUUCGGAGUUAGUGGCGGACGGGUGAGUAACACGUGGGAACGUGCCUUUUGGUUCGGAACAACUCAGGGAAACUUGAGCUAAUACCGAAUGUGCCCUUCGGGGGAAAGAUUUAUCGCCAUUAGAGCGGCCCGCGUCUGAUUAGCUUGUUGGUGAG
rnacentral:rRNA from 1 species